GACGAACGCUGGCGGCGUGCUUAACACAUGCAAGUCGAACGGAAAGGCCCUGCUUUUGUGGGGUGCUCGAGUGGCGAACGGGUGAGUAACACGUGAGUAACCUGCCCUUGACUUUGGGAUAACUUCAGGAAACUGGGGCUAAUACCGGAUAGGAGCUCCUGCUGCAUGGUGGGGGUUGGAAAGUUUCGGCGGUUGGGGAUGGACUCGCGGCUUAUCAGCUUGUUGGUGGGGUAGUGGCUUACCAAGGCUUUGACGGGUAGCCGGCCUGAGAGGGUGACCGGCCACAUUGGGACUGAGAUACGGCCCAGACUCCUACGGGAGGCAGCAGUGGGGAAUAUUGCACAAUGGGCGGAAGCCUGAUGCAGCAACGCCGCGUGCGGGAUGACGGCCUUCGGGUUGUAAACCGCUUUCGCCUGUGACGAAGCGUGAGUGACGGUAAUGGGUAAAGAAGCACCGGCUAACUACGUGCCAGCAGCCGCGGUGGUACGUAGGGUGCGAGCGUUGUCCGGAUUUAUUGGGCGUAAGGGGCUCGUAGGUGGUUGAUCGCGUCGGAAGUGUAAUCUUGGGGCUUAACCCUGAGCGUGCUUUCGAUACGGGUUGACUUGAGGAAGGUAGGGGAGAAUGGAAUUCCUGGUGGAGCGGUGGAAUGCGCAGAUAUCAGGAGGAACACCAGUGGCGAAGGCGGUUCUCUGGGCCUUUCCUGACGCUGAGGAGCGAAAGCGUGGGGAGCGAACAGGCUUAGAUACCCUGGUAGUCCACGCUGUAAACGGUGGGUACUAGGUGUGGGGUCCAUUCCACGGGUUCCGUGCCGUAGCUAACGCUUUAAGUACCCCGCCUGGGGAGUACGGCCGCAAGGCUAAAACUCAAAGGAAUUGACGGGGCCCCGCACAAGCGGCGGAGCAUGCGGAUUAAUUCGAUGCAACGCGUAGAACCUUACCUGGGUUUGACAUGGAUCGGGAGCGCUCAGAGAUGGGUGUGCCUCUUUUGGGGUCGGUUCACAGGUGGUGCAUGGCUGUCGUCAGCUCGUGUCGUGAGAUGUUGGGUUAAGUCCCGCAACGAGCGCAACCCUUGUUCACUGUUGCCAACACGUUAUGGUGGGGACUCAGUGGAGACCGCCGGGGUCAACUCGGAGGAAGGUGGGGAUGACGUCAAGUCAUCAUGCCCCUUAUGUCCAGGGCUUCACGCAUGCUACAAUGGCUGGUACAGAGAGUGGCGAGCCUGUGAGGGUGAGCGAAUCUCGGAAAGCCGGUCUCAGUUCGGAUUGGGGUCUGCAACUCGACCUCAUGAAGUCGGAGUCGCUAGUAAUCGCAGAUCAGCAACGCUGCGGUGAAUACGUUCCCGGG
rnacentral:rRNA from 1 species